AUUGAACGCUGGCGGCAUGCCUAACACAUGCAAGUCGAACGGGGGUAGCGAUACCCUAGUGGCGGACGGGUGAGUAACGCGUAGGAAUCUGCCCCGUAGUGGGGGACAACCUGGGGAAACCCAGGCUAAUACCGCAUGAGCUCGGGAGAGGAAAGCGGGGGACCUUCGGGCCUCGCGCUAUGGGAUGAGCCUACGUCCGAUUAGCUAGUUGGCGGGGUAAGGGCCCACCAAGGCGAUGAUCGGUAGCUGGUCUGAGAGGACGAUCAGCCACACUGGGACUGAGACACGGCCCAGACUCCUACGGGAGGCAGCAGUGGGGAAUAUUGGACAAUGGGCGCAAGCCUGAUCCAGCAAUGCCGCGUGGGUGAAGACGGCCUGCGGGUUGUAAAGCCCUUUAGGCGGGGAGGAACGGCGUCGUGCGAACAGUGCGGCGUUCUGACGUUACCCGCGGAAUAAGCACCGGCUAACUCCGUGC
rnacentral:rRNA from 1 species